rnacentral:rRNA from 1 species
UACGUAGGGUGCAAGCGUUGUCCGGAAUUAUUGGGCGUAAAGAGCUCGUAGGCGGUUUGUCGCGUCUGCUGUGAAAACUCGGGGCUUAACCCCGGGCCUGCAGUGGGUACGGGCAGACUAGAGUGCGGUAGGGGAGACUGGAAUUCCUGGUGUAGCGGUGAAGUGCGCAGGAUAUCAGGAGGAACACCGGUGGCGAAGGCGGUUCUCUGGGCAUUACCUGACGCUGAGGAGCGAAAGCGUGGGGAGCGAACAGG